rnacentral:rRNA from 1 species
GAUUUAUUGGGCGUAAAGAGCUCGUAGGCGGUUUAGUAAGUCGGGUGUUAAAACUSUGGGCUCAACCCGGAGACGCCAUCCGAUACUACUAUGACUUGAGUUCAGGAGGGGAGCGGGGAAUUCCUAGUGUAGCGGUGAAAUGCGCAGAUAUUAGGAGGAACACCGGUGGCGAAGGCGCCGCUCUGGACUGAAACUGACGCUGUAGGAGCGAAAGCAUGGGUAGCAACACAGGAUUAGAUACCCUGGUAGUCCAUGCCGUAAACGGUGGGCACUAGGUGUGGGUUCCAACUAACGGGAUCCGCGCCGUCGCUAACGCAUUAAGUGCCCCGCCUGGGGAGUACGGUCGCAAG